ACGCUGGCGGCAGGCCUAACACAUGCAAGUCGAGCGGUAGAGAGGAGCUUGCUCCUCUUGAGAGCGGCGGACGGGUGAGUAAUGCCUAGGAAUCUGCCUGGUAGUGGGGGAUAACGUUCGGAAACGGACGCUAAUACCGCAUACGUCCUACGGGAGAAAGCAGGGGACCUUCGGGCCUUGCGCUAUCAGAUGAGCCUAGGUCGGAUUAGCUAGUUGGUGAGGUAAUGGCUCACCAAGGCGACGAUCCGUAACUGGUCUGAGAGGAUGAUCAGUCACACUGGAACUGAGACACGGUCCAGACUCCUACGGGAGGCAGCAGUGGGGAAUAUUGGACAAUGGGCGAAAGCCUGAUCCAGCCAUGCCGCGUGUGUGAAGAAGGUCUUCGGAUUGUAAAGCACUUUAAGUUGGGAGGAAGGGCAGUAAAUUAAUACUUUGCUGUUUUGACGUUACCGACAGAAUAAGCACCGGCUAACUCUGUGCCAGCAGCCGCGGUAAUACAGAGGGUGCAAGCGUUAAUCGGAAUUACUGGGCGUAAAGCGCGCGUAGGUGGUUUGUUAAGUUGGAUGUGAAAUCCCCGGGCUCAACCUGGGAACUGCAUUCAAAACUGACUGACUAGAGUAUGGUAGAGGGUGGUGGAAUUUCCUGUGUAGCGGUGAAAUGCGUAGAUAUAGGAAGGAACACCAGUGGCGAAGGCGACCACCUGGACUAAUACUGACACUGAGGUGCGAAAGCGUGGGGAGCAAACAG
rnacentral:rRNA from 1 species